UGGGGAAUUUUGCACAAUGGGGGAAACCCUGAUGCAGCGACGCCGCGUGAUUUAGAAGGCCUUCGGGUUGUAAAAAUCUUUUCUAUGGGAAGAAAAUGACAGUACCAUAGGAAUAAGGACCGGCUAAUUACGUGCCAGCAGCCGCGGUAAUACGUAAGGUCCGAGCGUUGUCCGGAAUCAUUGGGCGUAAAGGGUACGUAGGCGGGUAAGCAAGUUAGAAGUGGAAUCCUAUAGCGCAACUAUAGUAAGCUUUUAAAACUGCUCAUCUUGAGGUAUGGAAGGGAAAGUAGAAUUCCUAGUGUAGCGGUGAAAUGCGCAGAUAUUAGGAGGAAUACCGGUGGCAAAGGCGACUUUCUGGCCAUAACCUGACGCUGAGGUACGAAAGCGUGGGUAGCAAACAGG
rnacentral:rRNA from 1 species